ACUCUUGAUUCACAUUAACCCUUAAUGUAUUUCCAUAUUGUUUAAUGUUAAGGUUGCUUGAUACCAACAUUCCUGGUACUUAUAUUCUCCAAUAUCUGCUACUUACAGUACCUAAAACUUUAUGUUCUAAUUUUUUUUAUCUGGGAAUUAUAUAGAUGUUCAAUGACUUCUGACUAGACUGCCAGUAACAUUUUCAAAAGCACUUAAGUUACAUAAAGCCUAAAUCCCAUUGACUUUCAAUGGAACUUGGGCUUCUAAGUCACUUAGACACUUUUGGAAAAUGUUACCUUAGAUCUCAUCAUUGCUGAUGAUGACCUGGUCUCAGUCAUAUGCACUUUCAUUACCUUCUGACUGGAUUAUUGUUAUGUAGUUUACCUUGGAUUUACAAUCAAGGUUUACUCCUGGGGGAAUUCUGUGCCAAUGCAUGCAUGCAGAAUUCAUGUUCCCCCCCCCCCCCAGAUUUUUUUGCCUCCCCACAGAAAAAUGACUUUUUGAUGGGGAAGCAAAGGGAAGCCGCAAGAGUGGUCACACACUCCUCCCCAGCAGUGGAGACGUGUCAUUUUUGGGCGCCCGGAGCAGCUGACAGAGAGGAGACUGCAAAAGUGCUGCUUUUGGGUCAACCAGCUCAGGGUGCUGACUCUGCUCUCUCUCUCUCUGGAAGCAAAGUCCAGGACUAGAAAAGCUGAGUCAUCUUUUUGACCCUGAACUUGCAAAUGCGUAUGAAAGAUGGCUGCUUGGGGAGAAAAAUUAAAUCUGUCGGAGUGCACUGCAGUGCAGUGCCAACACAGAACAGAACAGAUUCUAGCUCACGCUCCUGUACCUCUGCAGGCUUUGUGGAGACAGCAGGAGCAAAACAGAGUAAGGGUUUAUUUUGGUCACUGAAGUCAGCAGAUCGGACUCCACUGCAGACAGGAAGCAGGCUGCCAGUUUUACAUUGCCACUCUCCUGAGCAUCACUGCACUUUCCUGCAGGGAACAGCUGCGCCUCUAUCCGACUCUGCUGGGACGCUCUGGGGAGGAGAUAGAUGUCAGUUCAGUCCUCGGAGACUCUGCUGAGACUGACAAGGAGGCCACUUGACACCAGUGAUGAGCAGCCACUUCAUGCAGAGCUAGACUGAGAAACCAACUUCACCACAGUAACUUUGGCUCGCCACAGACCUGGGGGUGAUCGGAACAAGCAAUAGCCCCAUCAUCAAGCCCCUCCUCAUCCAGACUGCAAGGCCAUUCUUACAACUCCGUGUGGCUCCCCAAGGUUUAAUUUGAACAGCAGAGUAUGAAACCUUCUGCCUCCACGUGUAUUUUGUGUUUAUUGUUCAGUCACAUGUAGACGCCCUUCCCACCACUGCUUGAGACCUGGGGAAAUUUGAUUUUGAGUGUUUCCCCCAGACCUCACCUUCUGUAUAUGAAGCUGACAGGAGAUGGUGCUGCUGUUCAAUAAAGGGAGAUUUGAAUCCAAAAGAGAGAUUUGCUGACAUUUUGCAAACUUCAGUCCUGCUAAGCACAACUACAGAAAAAAGGGAGUUAGAAGCAGAUGACUCAAGGGUCAGGCAUGAGAAAAGGAGCUUUACACCUCUAGUUCAUCAGACUGAAGCAGCAGACAUUAGAAACCACUGCUACUAUCCUACGGCCAUUCACUGUGAAAAAUGGUUAAGACGCCUCAGUGCAUUUCCUAGUAUAGAGUUACUCACAUAAUUUUUUCUACAUUGUUCUUCGUAGACGUAGUCCUCCCCCAGCCUUCCCUUUUACGGGACUGUAUAUUUA